GUAUGUGUGUGUGUGUGUGUGUGUGUGACCAGAGGAGCAGGAGAACAGGAGAAGACGGCGACAGAGAGGGUCGCAGAGACGGUGGCGUGAGGGGACAAUGGGACUGAGAGCAAAGAGAUGCCUCCUGCGGUCUAGGAGAGUCGUCUGAAAGCUCUUAUUUCUACCCUGAGGAGCGAGCAUCAAGGAGGGAUCAUCGUGGAGCUAUAGACGAGGAUACACGAGAGCAGCCUUCCCUAAAGCCGUGCAGCUGAAGGAGUGGCUAACUCCGCCCAAACGGACGGAUUCAAGUGGCUUCAGAGGAAAGGAAGUCUCAUCCCUCUGAAACACAUUUGCUCGUUGCCUCUCUCCUCUCCUGAUGUCCCCGCGUCUCUCCCGUGCUUCCUCGGGGGGGAGGAACUAAGACAAGGAAGGGAGGCAAGAGGAGGACUCGAGGAGGCAACAUGAGAUGCAGCGUAUGUCUAAUGUCACAUACAUUUUCAGCAUACAUUUUACGGAGCUGAUGGAAAGGCGACUGUAGAGGGCCUCACCUUCUACAACCUUUACCACUGACACAACAGCAGGGUUAAUAAAUUAAGAUCAUGAAAUUAAAAAAAUAAAAUCUGUGAACCAAACACCCUGAUUACUAAUGAAA